UAUCGAUAGGCGAAAUGAAAAAACUCAGAAUGUACUGGCCAUAUGUGACUUUGAUCGUCGCUUCACAUUUGUUGCUGCAGGGAUUCCUGGAUCAGCACAUGAUUGGACAGUGCUGCAAGAAGCCAUUCACAAAUAUGGCACAAAAUUUCCCCAUCCACCCGCAGGAAAGUUUUAUCUGGUUGAUGCGGGGUACCCCAACAGGCCGGGAUAUCUAGCACCUUACAGGGGGUGAAGUACCAUCAGCGGGCAUGGAGAAAGGGAUCAGGACCUUCGGGUACACAAGAGGUAUAUAACAAAGCGCAUUCUUCACUUAGGUCGGUCAUAGAGCAGUCAUUCGGGAUCCUGAAGAUGAAGUGGAGAAUUCUGUACUACGGCAUCCCUAAAUAUUCUGAGCGUACACAAGCAGAAAUCAUUCUAGCAUGUUGUGGCCUACAUAAUUUUAUUUUGGAAAAUGAUGAUGACGAUGUGGACUUUAAUAUGGCUAUGGCAUUAGGCGGGUUGAGAAUGCUCGAAGAAGAUGAGGAUGAGGCGGACACGCGUGAGGCCGAUGAAGUUGAAGACGAUGUGAACAUGAAUGCGGUCCGUGAUGAAAUUGCAUAUGCAUGUUUUAUGGCACAAAGGCGCCGGUGAGAAUCCUAUAAAUUAUGCCAUAUGUGACAUAUGUUGGGCCUGUAAUAAGUUUGUAUCGUCGUUAGUAUUUGUUUGUGGGACAUUGUUUUGCCAUGUAAACUUUUAGACAGUGUGUGAAUUGUGGCGUCAUAGUUGGUUGCCCAAUAUUUGUGUUCGCGGUCCAUAUUUGUGUUGCAAAGGAAACGAAUUCUAUAUAUUAUGUUUGGCUGUUUGUGUA